rnacentral:rRNA from 1 species
GUCCACGCUGUAAACGCUGAGAACUAGCUGCUGGAGCGCGAGACGCAUCAGUGGCGCAGCUAACGCGUUAAGUUCUCCGCCUGGGGAUUACGGCCGCAAGGUUAAAACUCAAAGGAAUUGACGGGGGCCCGCACAAGCGGUGGAGCAUGUGGUUUAAUUCGAUGCAACGCGAAAAACCUUACCUACCCUUGACAUCCUCGGAAUCUUAUAGAGAUAUGAGAGUGCCUUCGGGAAUCGAGAGACAGGUGCUGCAUGGCU